rnacentral:tRNA from 1 species
AAUGGAAUGGCUGAUAAUAAGCGGUAAAUUGUAAAUUUACUUAUGAUGUAAAUCUUCUAUUA